AGGACGAACGCUGGCGGCGUGCUUAACACAUGCAAGUCGAGGGGGCAGUAGGGGCAACCUUGCUGUCACCGGCGAACGGGUGCGUAACACGUGAGCGACCUACCCCUUUGCGGGGGAUAGCCGGCCCAACGGCCGGGUAAUACCGCAUACGCUCGCUUUGGGGCAUUCUGAGGCGAGGAAACUUUCGAGGCGGAGGGAGGGCUCGCGGCCUAUCAGCUAGUUGGCGGGUAACGCCACGAAGGCGGUGACGGGUAG
rnacentral:rRNA from 1 species